UACGUAGGGGGCAAGCGUUGUCCGGAAUCAUUGGGCGUAAAGAGCGUGUAGGCGGCCCGGUAAGUCCGCUGUGAAAGUCGGGGGCUCAACCCUCGAAUGCCGGUGGAUACUGUCGGGCUAGAGUGCGGAAGAGGCGAGUGGAAUUCCUGGUGUAGCGGUGGAAUGCGCAGAUAUCAGGAGGAACACCUAUAGCGAAGGCAGCUUGCUGGGACGUUACUGACGCUAAGGCGCGAAAGCGUGGGGAGCGAACAGG
rnacentral:rRNA from 1 species